rnacentral:rRNA from 1 species
AGGCUGGUUUUCCAGGCAAAUCCGGAAAAUCAAGGCUGAGGCGUGAUGACGAGGCACUACGGUGCUGAAGCAACAAAUGCCCUGCUUCCAGGAAAAGCCUCUAAGCAUCAGGUAACAUCAAAUCGUACCCCGAACCGACACAGGUGGUCAGGUAGAGAAUACCAAGGCGCUUGAGAGAACCCGGGUGAAGGAACUAGGCAAAAUGGUGCCGUAACUUCGGGAGAAGGCACGCUGAUAUGUAGGUGAAGCGACUUGCUCGUGGAGCUGAAAUCAGUCGAAGAUACCAGCUGGCUGCAACUGUUUAUUAAAAACACAGCACUGUGCAAACACGAAAGUGGACGUAUACGGUGUGACGCCUGCCCGGUGCCGGAAGGUUAAUUGAUGGGGUUAGCGCAAGCGAAGCUCUUGAUCGAAGCCCCGGUAAACGGCGGCCGUAACAAUAACGGUCCUAAGGUAGCGAAAUUCCUUGUCGGGUAAGUUCCGACCUGCACGAAUGGCGUAAUGAUGGCCAGGCUGUCUCCACCCGAGACUCAGUGAAAUUGAACUCGCUGUGAAGAUGCAGUGUACCCGCGGCAAGACGGAAAGACCCCGUGAACCUUUACUAUAGCUUGACACUGAACAUUGAGCCUUGAUGUGUAGGAUAGGUGGGAGGCUUUGAAGUGUGGACGCCAGUCUGCAUGGAGCCGACCUUGAAAUACCACCCUUUAAUGUUUGAUGUUCUAACGUUGACCCGUAAUCCGGGUUGCGGACAGUGUCUGGUGGGUAGUUUGACUGGGGCGGUCUCCUCCUAAAGAGUAACGGAGGAGCACGAAGGUUGGCUAAUCCUGGUCGGACAUCAGGAGGUUAGUGCAAUGGCAUAAGCCAGCUUGACUGCGAGCGUGACGGCGCGAGCAGGUGCGAAAGCAGGUCAUAGUGAUCCGGUGGUUCUGAAUGGAAGGGCCAUCGCUCAACGGAUAAAAGGUACUCCCGGGAUAACAGGCUGAUACCGCCCAAGAGUUCAUAUCGACGGCGGUGUUUGGCACCUCGAUGUCGGCUCAUCACAUCCUGGGGCUGAAGUAGGUCCCAAGGGUAUGGCUGUUCGCCAUUUAAAGUGGUACGCGAGCUGGGUUUAGAACGUCGUGAGACAGUUCGGUCCCUAUCUGCCGUGGGCGCUGGAGAACUGAGGGGGGCUGCUCCUAGUACGAGGGGACCGGAGUGGACGCAUCACUGGUGUUCGGGUUGUCAUGCCAAUGGCACUGCCCGGUAGCUAAAUGCGGAAGAGAUAAGUGCUGAAAGCAUCUAAGCACGAAACUUGCCCCGAGAUGAGUUCUCCCUGACUCCUUGAGAGUCCUGAAGGAACGUUGAAGACGACGACGUUGAUAGGCCGGGUGUGUAAGCGCAGCGAUGCGUUGAGCUAACCGGUACUAAUGAACCGUGAGGCUUAACCUU